GGUAAGAUAGUUUAAGUUAAAAUCUCUGUUUUACACAUAGAGGAUAGGUGUGGGCCUUAUUACUA
rnacentral:tRNA from 1 species